rnacentral:rRNA from 1 species
GAUGAACGCUGGCGGCGUGCCUAAUACAUGCAAGUUGAGCGAACAGACGAGGAGCUUGCUCCUCUGACGUUAGCGGCGGACGGGUGAGUAACACGUGGAUAACCUACCUAUAAGACUGGGAUAACUUCGGGAAACCGGAGCUAAUACCGGAUAAUAUAUUGAACCGCAUGGUUCAAUAGUGAAAGACGGUUUUGCUGUCACUUAUAGAUGGAUCCGCGCCGCAUUAGCUAGUUGGUAAGGUAACGGCUUACCAAGGCAACGAUGCGUAGCCGACCUGAGAGGGUGAUCGGCCACACUGGAACUGAGACACGGUCCAGACUCCUACGGGAGGCAGCAGUAGGGAAUCUUCCGCAAUGGGCGAAAGCCUGACGGAGCAACGCCGCGUGAGUGAUGAAGGUCUUCGCAUCGUAAAACUCUGUUAUUAGGGAAGAACAAAUGUGUAAGUAACUAUGCACGUCUUGACGGUACCUAAUCAGAAAGCCACGGCUAACUACGUG